GAUGAACGCUGGCGGCGUGCCUAAUACAUGCAAGUCGAGCGAACAGACGAGGAGCUUGCUCCUCUGACGUUAGCGGCGGACGGGUGAGUAACACGUGGAUAACCUACCUAUAAGACUGGGAUAACUUCGGGAAACCGGAGCUAAUACCGGAUAAUAUAUUGAACCGCAUGGUUCAAUAGUGAAAGACGGUUUUGCUGUCACUUAUAGAUGGAUCCGCGCCGCAUUAGCUAGUUGGUAAGGUAACAGCUUACCAAGGCAACGAUGCGUAGCCGACCUGAGAGGGUGAUCGGCCACACUGGAACUGAGACACGGUCCAGACUCCUACGGGAGGCAGCAGUAGGGAAUCUUCCGCAAUGGGCGAAAGCCUGACGGAGCAACGCCGCGUGAGUGAUGAAGGUCUUCGGAUCGUAAAACUCUGUUAUUAGGGAAGAACAAAUGUGUAAGUAACUAUGCACGUCUUGACGGUACCUAAUCAGAAAGCCACGGCUAACUACGUGCCAGCCGCCGCCGUAAAAC
rnacentral:rRNA from 1 species